GACAGAGGGGGCAAGCGUUGCUCGGAAUCACUGGGCGUAAAGGGCGCGUAGGCGGGAUGGCAAGUCGGUCGUGAAAUCUCUCGGAUCAACCGAGAAACGUCGGCCGAUACUGCCGUUCUUGAGGGAUGCAGAGGAGACUGGAAUUCCCGGUGUAGCGGUGAAAUGUGUAGAGAUCGGGAGGAACACCGAUGGCGAAGGCGGCCUGCUGGGCAGUUGCUGACACUGAGGCGCGACAGCGUGGGGAGCAAACAGG
rnacentral:rRNA from 1 species